rnacentral:rRNA from 1 species
AUUGAACGCUGGCGGCAGGCUUAACACAUGCAAGUCGAGCGGGGAAAGGUAGCUUGCUACUUAACCUAGCGGCGGACGGGUGAGUAAUGCUUAGGAAUCUGCCUAUUAGUGGGGGACAACAUCUCGAAAGGGAUGCUAAUACCGCAUACGUCCUACGGGAGAAAGCAGGGGACCUUCGGGCCUUGCGCUAAUAGAUGAGCCUAAGUCGGAUUAGCUAGUUGGUGGGGUAAAGGCCUACCAAGGCGACGAUCUGUAGCGGGUCUGAGAGGAUGAUCCGCCACACGGGGACUGCGACACGGCCCAGACUCCUACGGGAGGCAGCAGUGGGGAAUAUUGGACAAUGGGGGGAACCCUGAUCCAGCCAUGCCGCGUGUGUGAAGAAGGCCUUUUGGUUGUAAAGCACUUUAAGCGAGGAGGAGGCUACCGAGAUUAAUACUCUUGGAUAGUGGACGUUACUCGCAGAAUAAGCACCGGCUAACUCUGUGCCAGCCGCCGCAGUAAAAC